CUCUGUUAGAGGACCAACUAACUCUCUAUACUUCUCUGUUAAGAGGACCAACUAACUCUCUAUAUUUCUCUGUUAAGACCAACUAACUCUCUGUACUCAUAUUUCCUUGAAGACUAUGUGAUGGACUAGACUAUAUAAUGGAAAAGAGUAUCUUCAAUAAGACUAAUCCCCCCCCCCAAAAAAAAAUAUCUAUAAAAAUAACUGCACUUUUCCUACAAGCACUGAAUUUGCUGAUAACUUCUUUAUUGAGCAAAAAUGGGUGUCAGGGUGCCAGGUAGCUUAGUGGUUAGAGGAGGCAGGUAGCCUAGUGGUUAGAGAGGCAGGUAGCCUAGUGGUUAGAGAGGCAGGUAGACUAGUGGAUAGAGAGGCAGCUAGCCUAGUGGUUAGAGGAGGCAGGUAGCCUAGUGGUUAGAGAGGCAGGUAGCCUAGUGGUUAGAGAGGCAGGUAGCCUAGUGGUUAGAGAGGCAGGUAGCCUAGUGGUUAGAGAGGCAGGUAGCCUAGUGAUUAGAGAGGCAGGUAGCCUAGUGGUUAGAGAGGCAGGUAGCCUAGUGGUUAGAGAGGCAGGUAGCCUAGUGGAUAGAGAGGCAGCUAGCCUAGUGGUUAGAGAGGCAGGUAGCCUAGUGGUUAGAGAGGCAGGUAGCCUAGUGGAUAGAGAGGCAGCUAGCCUAGUGGUUAGAGAGGCAGGUAGCCUAGUGGUUAGAGAGGCAGGUAGCCUAGUGGUUAGAGGGGCAGGUAGCCUAGGGGUUAGAGAGGCAGGUAGCCUAGGGGAUAGAGAGGCAGCUCGCCUAGUGGUUAGAGAGGCAGGUUAGAGAGGCAGGUAGCCUAGUGGUUAGAGAGGCAGGUUAGAGAGGCAGGUAGCCUAGUGGUUAGAGUGUUGGACUAGUAACCGAAAGGUUGCAGGAUCGAAUCCCUGAGCUGACAAGGUACAAAUCUGUCGUUCUGCCCCUGAACAAGGCAGUUAAC
rnacentral:lncRNA from 1 species